rnacentral:rRNA from 2 species
GCUUGGCGGCGUGCCUAAUACAUGCAAGUCGAACGAGUUCUCGUUGAUGAUCGGUGCUUGCACCGAGAUUCAACAUGGAACGAGUGGCGGACGGGUGAGUAACACGUGGGUAACCUGCCCUUAAGUGGGGGAUAACAUUUGGAAACAGAUGCUAAUACCGCAUAGAUCCAAGAACCGCAUGGUUCUUGGCUGAAAGAUGGCGUAAGCUAUCGCUUUUGGAUGGACCCGCGGCGUAUUAGCUAGUUGGUGAGGUAAUGGCUCACCAAGGCGAUGAUACGUAGCCGAACUGAGAGGUUGAUCGGCCACAUUGGGACUGAGACACGGCCCAAACUCCUACGGGAGGCAGCAGUAGGGAAUCUUCCACAAUGGACGCAAGUCUGAUGGAGCAACGCCGCGUGAGUGAAGAAGGCUUUCGGGUCGUAAAACUCUGUUGUUGGAGAAGAAUGGUCGGCAGAGUAACUGUUGUCGGCGUGACGGUAUCCAACCAGAAAGCCACGGCUAACUACGUGCCAGCAGCCGCGGUAAUACGUAGGUGGCAAGCGUUAUCCGGAUUUAUUGGGCGUAAAGCGAGCGCAGGCGGUUUUUUAAGUCUGAUGUGAAAGCCCUCGGCUUAACCGAGGAAGCGCAUCGGAAACUGGGAAACUUGAGUGCAGAAGAGGACAGUGGAACUCCAUGUGUAGCGGUGAAAUGCGUAGAUAUAUGGAAGAACACCAGUGGCGAAGGCGGCUGUCUGGUCUGUAACUGACGCUGAGGCUCGAAAGCAUGGGUAGCGAACAGGAUUAGAUACCCUGGUAGUCCAUGCCGUAAACGAUGAAUGCUAGGUGUUGGAGGGUUUCCGCCCUUCAGUGCCGCAGCUAACGCAUUAAGCAUUCCGCCUGGGGAGUACGACCGCAAGGUUGAAACUCAAAGGAAUUGACGGGGGCCCGCACAAGCGGUGGAGCAUGUGGUUUAAUUCGAAGCAACGCGAAGAACCUUACCAGGUCUUGACAUCUUUUGAUCACCUGAGAGAUCAGGUUUCCCCUUCGGGGGCAAAAUGACAGGUGGUGCAUGGUUGUCGUCAGCUCGUGUCGUGAGAUGUUGGGUUAAGUCCCGCAACGAGCGCAACCCUUAUGACUAGUUGCCAGCAUUUAGUUGGGCACUCUAGUAAGACUGCCGGUGACAAACCGGAGGAAGGUGGGGAUGACGUCAAAUCAUCAUGCCCCUUAUGACCUGGGCUACACACGUGCUACAAUGGAUGGUACAACGAGUUGCGAGACCGCGAGGUCAAGCUAAUCUCUUAAAGCCAUUCUCAGUUCGGACUGUAGGCUGCAACUCGCCUACACGAAGUCGGAAUCGCUAGUAAUCGCGGAUCAGCACGCCGCGGUGAAUACGUUCCCGGGCCUUGUACACACCGCCCGUCACACCAUGAGAGUUUGUAACACCCGAAGCCGGUGGCGUAACCCUUUUAGGGAGCGAGCCGUCUAAGGUGGGACAAAUGAUUAGGG